CAAUGAUGUCUAUGGGUUCAUUGAUCCCCAAGUCACUCACGAAGCAAAUAAUUUUGAUGACAUCACAACAUAUAUCACCAGCCGCUUUGCAAUGGGGAAUGACAUAUAUUUUAUUCCUUAUAUAUCUGGAGAGCUAUGUUGUGUGGUUCUCCUCAUUGCACAAGUCUCCUCCCAAACAUCUCAGACAAGCAGUUGAUUGGCAAGAACCUCAAUGUUUGGAGUUUCUUUGUUAUAUAAAUGAAUGCUAAAGCCUUUUUUUAUAGUUCCAUUGCAGCACGUAUGAUGUUGGUUGGGAGAUCAACUGCUACAGUAGAAAGCUUGCAUAGGUUGCUCUCAAGUGUAACAGACAAAGUGGAUCAUAUGAGUGUGGAUAAUACGCAAUGUAUUGGAUGACACACAUUAUUCGUCCCUAUAUCACAAGAGGCUGGGAAAUGAGAUUCAAGACUCCUACUUCACUUUCUGAGAAGUCACUUACAUACCUAAGGAAGGCACUUGCAAAACAUUUAAUUAGAUUAAUUACAGGGGAACCGAAGCAGAAACCUUGGACAUAUUACCUCGGUUGGAACCGAGACCAAAAGUCCCCCACCAUUUAAUCUCAAUUCACCAUUUCAAUUUUAUAUAAAAAUACCAAAAAUAUUAUUAUUGAGAAGAAAUGCAUAAGUUUC